rnacentral:misc_RNA from 1 species
GUGAAUCAUCAAAUUUUUGAACGCAAAUUGCACUCCCUGGUAUUCCGGGGAGUAUGCCUGUUUGAGGGUCAGCCUAUAAAAAAUCGAUCUCGUAUGUGUUCUGCUGCUGGAAACAUCGAAAAUUGGUUUAUCUUAAAUCCUUUUGGGUUUUAAGCGACUUAAAAUUUUCUUUUUGGUUCCAUGAACGUUUCUAAGAUUUAUUUCUUUACACGUUUAAGGUAUCGAUCUUUAUUAGACGUGACCAUCAUAUCGGAUCGCGUCCAUAAUCUUUCAUUAACUUACCUCAGACAGGUAAGAUUA